rnacentral:piRNA from 1 species
UAUCCAUGACGACUAACGAGUUUGGAA